rnacentral:rRNA from 1 species
GAUUAACGCUGGCGGCAUGCCUUAUGCAUGCAAGUAGAACGAGGUGUAGCAAUACACCGAGUUGCGAACGGCUGAGUAAUGGAUAGGAAUCUCCCUUUUGGCGCGGAAUACCUUAUCGAAAGAUAAGCUAAUACCACAUAAGAUCGCAAGAUGAAAGCCCUUUACCGGGCACCGAAAGAUGAGCCUAUCUCCCAUCAGGUAGUUGGUAGGGUAAUGGCCUACCAAGCCAAUGACGGGUACCCGCCCUGAGAGGGGAAACGGGCAGAAUGGGACUGAGACACGGCCCAUACACCUACGGGUGGCAGCAACAGGGAAUCGUACGCAAUGGACGAAAAUCUGACGUCGCAAUGCCGCGUGGAGGAUGAAGGCCUUCGGGUCGUAAACUCCUUUUACAGUAAUAGAGAUGUUAUUGAGAAUAAGCAACUGCUAACUCUGUGC